AGAGAAGCAUUCUGCCUUUCCAGACUUUCUGGUUUGCAAAGAGAGCGAAGGCAAAGCAAGAGAGAAGAGAGAGGGAGAGAAGGCGCAGAGAGAUCCAUCUCUGUGGAUUUCUGUGAAUUGUUUUCUCCCCUUUUGAAUUAAGAGGGGAGGUGUGGGGUGUGUGGGGGUGGGGGUCUCGCUUCGGAUCCUUUGUCUGGUCCCGGGACGCAGGCAUUGGAUUGCUUUCCACUGGCGUCAUUGCCUUCCUUUUGCAAGAGGAAGGAAAAAAAAGAAGAGAGAGAAAGAGAGAGAGAAGAAGGAGAGAAAGAAUCCCACAGAAGUACCAGAUCCGGAUCGGGAACACUUUUUGGACUUUAUCCCAAGCAAAGAAGUCAACGAAAAAUCAACUUUUCUACUUACUUGGAGGAGAAUUUUUGCAAAGCCAAAAAAGUCUGCAUUUUGCAAGGAAAGAGGAGGGGUCUCUCCUCCCUAAACUUUUCCAUAUGGACCUCCUCCCCUUUCCCAUAGCGAGAAACAGACGGCGGCUUUGAGAAGAAGACAAAAACUCUGGGUCUGGGUCUCCCGAACGAACGUGGAUCUUUUCCUCCUUCUCUUCCUUCCAGUUUGGAGCAAGCCAUUGGGAUUGUUGAGCCAGGAAGAAGGCAAAUCUCUCUCUCUGUGUUUCUGCUGCCAGAUGAAGUUCUCCACUCGGGAGGAUUAAUUUUAAUUUUUCUUUCAUGACUCUGCCUUUGGAGAUCCGGGGAUUAAGGGUGUCUCUGGGAUCCCCGAAGACGCUCCUGCUGUGGGGCCCUCUGCCCCCCUCCCCACGAGACCCCCGAGAGAGAAGAACAGCGGCGGGAGGGAAGACCCCUCCGCAGGGACCCCCCCAGCCAUGCCGGGAUGGCUGCUCUGCCUCUGGGUGCCCCUAGCAGCCCUGGCCGUGGAAGAAAGCCUCAUGAACACCAAGCUGGAAACGGCGGACCUGCGGUGGACUACGUAUCCCCCAGAUGGCCAG